CCUACGGGUGGCUGCAGUCGAGAAUCAUUCACAAUGGGGGAAACCCUGAUGGUGCGACGCCGCGUGGGGGAAUGAAGGUCUUCGGAUUGUAAACCCCUGUCAUGUGGGAGCAAAUUAAAAAGAUAGUACCACAAGAGGAAGAGACGGCUAACUCUGUGCCAGCAGCCGCGGUAAUACAGAGGUCUCAAGCGUUGUUCGGAAUCACUGGGCGUAAAGCGUGCGUAGGCUGUUUCGUAAGUCGUGUGUGAAAGGCGCGGGCUCAACCCGCGGACGGCACAUGAUACUGCGAGACUAGAGUAAGGGAGGGGGAACUGGAAUUCUCGGUGUAGCAGUGAAAUGCGUAGAUAUCGAGAGGAACACUCGUGGCGAAGGCGGGUUCCUGGACAUUAACUGACGCUGAGGCACGAAGGCCAGGGGAGCGAAAGGGAUUAGAUACCCGAGUAGUC
rnacentral:rRNA from 1 species